AAUGGCAGGUGGACAGCCAACCUUUGCCUUUGUGCCAAGUCUCCUAAGAACAAACAUGCAGAGCCUGCUCCAAGUUGGGCAAAGGUCCAAUUCCCUGUCUUCCCCUUAGAAGGUAGUCUCUGGAGACUCUGCCUUGAAUAGUAGAAUUGUGUCUGAGGUGUUUUUGUUUGUGGGGUUUUCAUGUGCUUUCUUUUUUAUCUUCCCUAGGAAAAAAGAACUGAUCAUUGGCAAAAAGCUGAGGAUGACAACCUUAGGGGAUGAAAGGCUGUCUUUUCGCACCCUUCUGAGCUUUUCUGCCGGCUCCCAGCUGGGAGAAACCAACACGAUGAAAGCCUCUGUUCUAGGCACUGAGGACGUAGAUGAAAACAAGCCCAAUGAAGUCCCGGUUCCCAUGGAGCUGACAGCCCAGCGCUGGGCUGCAGACAAUAAAAACUAUCAAAUCAACAGGGAGCGCAUCCAGUGGUGACAAACUGAGGAGGAGGGAAGCUCAGAGGGAGCUGUAAUUUUAAAAAGUGGGGU
rnacentral:lncRNA from 1 species